AGUCUUGCUAGUGCCACUGCAGAUGUCCACUGUUAUGACGUGUUAUCAAAUAAGUGGACCAGGCUUACUCCUCUUGGCGAACCUCCUUCACCAAGAGCUGCACAUGUAGCAACUGCUGUUGGAACCAUGGUGGUCAUUCAGGGUGGAAUUGGUCCUGCUGGCUUAUCCGCUGAGGACCUUCAUGUUCUUGAUCUUACACAAUAACGAGAAGAAGAAAGAUGGAGAAGAUGAAGAUGAAGACUGGACUGGUGAGUGAGGAUGAAAAAGAGUCCACGGGAAGAGUUACCAGUGUGAAGAGACCAAAGUAUGCGACAAGAUCUAAAAGCUCAGAUAGUAGGGAAAACUCGAAGACUGGAAGUGACAGAAGUAUCGACGAAGAUGACGACACUGAGGAUGAGCAAGAUGAGACUCUGGGAGGUUUUUUAGUUAACGACGAGGAUGACGAGCCUGCGGAAGAGCUGAGCGAUGAAGAGGAGGAGGAAUUUGACUAUGAGGAAGAUGAUGAUUGAUAACCACGUCAAAAAAGAACCUUCUCAGUGAUGAACUGAUACUGACAAGUGACAAGCAGUAUGUUUAUAUUCCUUUGAACUUGUGUAAAAAUAAUGUGUGGCAACUGUGUUAGUGUUGUUAAUUCUGAAAAAUGACGUUUUUGUAUAUCUGCAUUGCUUAUCUCAGCAGUGAACCGAAUUUUCACUCAGCUGUGCUGCCAUG